rnacentral:rRNA from 1 species
AUUAGAUACCCUGGGUAGUCCACGCCGUAAACGAUGAUUACUAGGUGUGGGGGGACUGACCCCUUCCGUGCCGGAGUUAACACAAUAAGUAAUCCACCUGGGGAGUACGGUCGCAAGACUGAAACUCAAAGGAAUUGACGGGGGCCCGCACAAGCAGUGGAGUAUGUGGUUUAAUUCGACGCAACGCGAAGAACCUUACCAGGCCUUGACAUCCCUUGCAUAGCUCAGAGAUGAGUGAAGUCCUUCGGGACAAGGAGACAGGUGGUGCAUGGUUGUCGUCAGCUCGUGUCGUGAGAUGUUGGGUUAAGUCCCGCAACGAGCGCAACCCUUAUUAUUAGUUGCUACGCAAGAGCACUCUAAUGAGACUGCCGUUGACAAAACGGAGGAAGGUGGGGAUGACGUCAAAUCAUCAUGCCCUUUAUGGCCUGGGCUACACACGUACUACAAUGGCACUCAAACAGAGGGAAGCGAAGGGGCGACCUGGAGCGAAACCCGAAAAAGUGUCCCAGUUCGGAUUGCAGGCUGCAACCCGCCUGUAUGAAGUCGGAAUCGCCAGUAAUCGCGGAUCAGCAUGCCGCGGUGAAUACGUUCCCGGGUCUUGUACACACCGCCCGUCAAACAAUGGGAGUGGUGUUUACCAGAAGUCGUUAGCCUAACCGCAAGGAGGGCGCUGCCGAAGGUAGGAUUGGCGACUGGGGUGAAGUCGUAACAAGGUACC